rnacentral:tRNA from 1 species
GCCCAAGUAGUCUAGCGGUUAGAUUUAAGUUCUAAUUGGACUUUAAAACCAAGACUGAGCCCUGUCGAGGCUCAAACCCGGGUUCAACUCCCGGCUUGGGCG